CUAAGGGGGGGCGUUACGCCUGAGAUUCUCCUUGUUGUUUAUGCUUGUUCGCACUUUGGUACGAAAAUGUAAAAGCAAUAAGACAGUGAACCCUUUGAACCUGAUCCGGUUAAUGCCGGCGUAGGGAUAGGAGUUAUU
rnacentral:ncRNA from 1 species